UCGCAGGUAGCUUAAUGGUAAAGCACCCAACCGGCAAUUGGGGUAUCUGCGUUCAAGUCCUGGCCCGGGCU
rfam:Strigamia maritima strain Brora ctg7180001232112, whole genome shotgun sequence.